UAAGUUAAUAAGGGCGCACGGUGGAUGCCUUGGCACUAGGAGCCGACGAAGGACGUGACAAACGACGAUAUGCCUUGGGUAGCUGUAAGUAAGCGAUGAUCCAGGGAUUUCCGAAUGGGGGAACCCAACAGGUAAUACCUGUUACCUACAUCUGUUAAGGAUGUGAGGAGGAAGACGCAGUGAACUGAAACAUCUAAGUAGCUGCAGGAAGAGAAAGCAAAAGCGAUUGCCUUAGUAGCGGCGAGCGAAACGGCAGAAGGGCAAACCGAAGAGUUUACUCUUCGGGGUUGUAGGACUGCAAUGUGGACUCAAAGAUUAUAGAAGAAUGAUUUGGGAAGAUCAGCCAAAGAGAGUAAUAGCCUCGUAUUUAAAAUAGUCUUUGUACUUAGCAGUAUCCUGAGUACGGCGGGACACGUGAAAUCCCGUCGGAAUCUGGGAGGACCAUCUCCCAACCCUAAAUACUCCCUAGUGACCGAUAGUGAACCAGUACCGUGAGGGAAAGGUGAAAAGCACCCCGGGAGGGGAGUGAAAUAGAACCUGAAACCGUGUGCCUACAACAAGUUCGAGCCCGUUAAUGGGUGAGAGCGUGCCUUUUGUAGAAUGAACCGGCGAGUUACGUUAUGAUGCGAGGUUAAGUUGAAGAGACGGAGCCGUAGGGAAACCGAGUCUGAAUAGGGCGCCUUAGUAUCAUGACGUAGACCCGAAACCAUGUGACCUACCCAUGAGCAGGUUGAAGGUGCGGUAAGACGCACUGGAGGACCGAACCAGGGCACGUUGAAAAGUGCUUGGAUGACUUGUGGGUAGCGGAGAAAUUCCAAACGAACUUGGAGAUAGCUGGUUCUCUCCGAAAUAGCUUUAGGGCUAGCGUCGACAUUAGAGAUUCUUGGAGGUAGAGCACUGUUUGGGUGAGGGGUCCAUCCCGGAUUACCAAUCUCAGAUAAACUCCGAAUGCCAAUGAAUUAUGGUCGGCAGUCAGACUGCGAGUGCUAAGAUCCGUAGUCGAAAGGGAAACAGCCCAGACCACCAGCUAAGGUCCCAAAAUAAUUGUUAAGUGGAAAAGGAUGUGGGGUUGCACAGACAACUAGGAUGUUAGCUUAGAAGCAGCUAUUCAUUCAAAGAGUGCGUAAUAGCUCACUAGUCGAGUGACCCUGCGCCGAAAAUGUACCGGGGCUAAAACAAUUUACCGAAGCUGUGGAUACCUUUAUAGGUAUGGUAGGAGAGCGUUCUAUGUGUGAUGAAGGUAUACCGUGAGGAGUGCUGGAACGCAUAGAAGUGAGAAUGCCGGUAUGAGUAGCGAAAGACAGGUGAGAAUCCUGUCCACCGUAAGACUAAGGUUUCCAGGGGAAGGCUCGUCCGCCCUGGGUUAGUCGGGACCUAAGGAGAGACCGAAAGGUGUAUCCGAUGGACAACAGGUUGAUAUUCCUGUACUAGAGUAUGUAGUGAUGGAGGGACGCAGUAGGCUAACUAAAGCAGACGAUUGGAAGAGUCUGUCUAAGCAGUGAGGUGUGAAUUGAGUCAAAUGCUUAAUUCUAUAACAUUGAGCUGUGAUGGGGAGCGAAGUUUAGUAGCGAAGUUAGUGACGUCACACUGCCAAGAAAAGCUUCUAGCGUUUAAACAUACUCUACCCGUACCGCAAACCGACACAGGUAGUCGAGGCGAGUAGCCUCAGGUGAGCGAGAGAACUCUCGUUAAGGAACUCGGCAAAAUGACCCCGUAACUUCGGGAGAAGGGGUGCUGACUUAAAGUCAGCCGCAGUGAAUAGGCCCAAGCAACUGUUUAUCAAAAACACAGCUCUCUGCCAAAUCGUAAGAUGAUGUAUAGGGGUGACGCCUGCCCGGUGCUGGAAGGUUAAGAGGAGUGCUUAGCGUAAGCGAAGGUAUGAAUUGAAGCCCCAGUAAACGGCGGCCGUAACUAUAACGGUCCUAAGGUAGCGAAAUUCCUUGUCGGGUAAGUUCCGACCCGCACGAAAGGCGUAAUGAUUUGGGCACUGUCUCAACGAGAGACUCGGUGAAAUUUUAGUACCUGUGAAGAUGCAGGUUACCCGCGACAGGACGGAAAGACCCCAUGGAGCUUUACUGCAGUUUGAUAUUGAGUGUCUGUACCACAUGUACAGGAUAGGUAGGAGUCUAAGAGAUCGGGACGCCAGUUUCGAAGGAGACGCUGUUGGGAUACUACCCUUGUGUUAUGGCCACUCUAACCCAGAUAGGUGAUCCCUAUCGGAGACAGUGUCUGACGGGCAGUUUGACUGGGGCGGUCGCCUCCUAAAAGGUAACGGAGGCGCCCAAAGGUUCCCUCAGAAUGGUUGGAAAUCAUUCGCAGAGUGUAAAGGUAUAAGGGAGCUUGACUGCGAGAGCUACAACUCGAGCAGGGACGAAAGUCGGGCUUAGUGAUCCGGUGGUUCCGUAUGGAAGGGCCAUCGCUCAACGGAUAAAAGCUACCCUGGGGAUAACAGGCUUAUCUCCCCCAAGAGUUCACAUCGACGGGGAGGUUUGGCACCUCGAUGUCGGCUCGUCGCAUCCUGGGGCUGUAGUCGGUCCCAAGGGUUGGGCUGUUCGCCCAUUAAAGCGGCACGCGAGCUGGGUUCAGAACGUCGUGAGACAGUUCGGUCCCUAUCCGUCGCGGGCGUAGGAAAUUUGAGAGGAUCUGCUCCUAGUACGAGAGGACCAGAGUGGACUUACCGCUGGUGUACCAGUUGUCUUGCCAAAGGCAUCGCUGGGUAGCUAUGUAGGGAAGGGAUAAACGCUGAAAGCAUCUAAGUGUGAAACCCACCUCAAGAUGAGAUUUCCCAUGAUUAUAUAUCAGUAAGAGCCCUGAGAGAUGAUCAGGUAGAUAGGUUAGAAGUGGAAGUGUGGCGACACAUGUAGCGGACUAAUACUAAUAGCUCGAGGACUUAUCCA
rnacentral:rRNA from 1 species